GUAUUUUAAAAGUGUAAAAUACACCCUAUACUAUAUAUAACAUUAAAAGUCUAAUAUUAUAUAUAUGUAUGAGUAAAAGUCAGUCUUACCGUUAGUAGGCCUCAUUCACGAAGCUGGUCUAUAAGGGGUGUUUAAGGAAAUUGCCUAUAAAAUGGCGAUUGAAUGGGUAUCCACUCUUACCCACCACACGCUUGACCAGUGGAGGGUCGUUAGCCGAACGGGUAGGAUAGGACAGAAACCUUCCAUUAUAAGUAUAGUGAAGUAUAAAGUAACUAAAUGUUUUACAAAAUCCCCAAUCUAGUUACUUUAGGCAAAAGUGAAUUGAUGCAAUUCCAUGAAAUUACACUUUGUGCCCUUGCAAAGACGUUAGUGGAGCGUGUGUGGUUAACCGGCACACUAAAUGGUUCUAAGCAAAUUUAGCAAAGGGUGACUCAAUGUUUGUCAUAGUUUAGUUGAGCGUGUGUGGAUAACCGGCACAUUGAAUAGGUGACUGUAACAUUUGGGGGCACCGUGUAAGUUUGCAUGGUUAUUCACACCCUGUUUUGUGAUCCUCGGCACCCCAGUCACAAAUCGAGGGGCAUGUCGAGAUUUAAACAUGCCAUUGAAAAGUUCAAUGAAUCUCAAAAGAUCUAGGAAUUUUCAAUAGAUUUAAAACUUAAUUUUGUUUCGUUUUUCAUGGUGGAAAUUAGUGAAUCGCCAUUCACUUACCUUCAAAUGUUCUGCAAUUUGGGUUACGACAUCCCUCUCCCAAGUUGUAGAGUAUUGUGUUGGGUCCUAGCCUUAGUAUAUCAUUUGGGUGAUUUAUUAAUGACUCAAUCAAUCAACUAAUUUGCAUUUUUCUCCCAUUUUGUAGAUGUCAAAGUAUGAAAACUAUGGUCUUCCCAAAUCCCGUGGAACAAGCUUUUCACAUGAAGAUGAUAUUCCACGAUUCGAUCGAGGAACACGAGAUCAUGCUUCACUUCCUCCACCUCCUCCUAUUGCUCUCCCUAACCCACAAGUUCAAAAGAUUGAAAAGUUCAAACUCACUCAAGCCCUUUUGGCAAGUAAACAUGAAGAAGGAAAGUCAGUGUGUGCACACAUCCUAGAGAUGAAGUCACACAUUGAUAGAUUAAGAAUGUUGGGAUCUGUUGUCUGUGAGGAGCUGGCUGUUGACUGGGUUCUUCAGUCACUUCCUGACUCAUAUAGUGAGUUCGUAAGAGAGUACUAUAUGAUGAACCACGACGUAACCCUCAUUGAUCUCACCUAUAUGCUUAUUGCUGCUGAAUCAGCAAUGAUUUGGUGCACUGGAAAAGCAAAGAUGAUUGGUGGAUCUGCCGGACCGAAGUCCGGAAACUGACUAAACAUAGCCUAGCAUAAUCAUAACUACUAUCAUAAACACAUAUACUUCAUACUGCAUCGGACCGAAAUCCGGAACACAUAACACAAAGACAUGCUUGAAUCACAAAGACCUCAAGCACAGUGAACUACUGCAUCGGACCGAAGUCUAGAACUACUGCUAACUAAAUGGGCUGGCAUUGUGGUCGUAGACCCGUUCCUACUGGAAGGAAGACUCACCUCACACUGCUGAAGUCCCGCUGACCAAAACCAUAGCUGCUGGAUGGCAGAUUCCCGAUCUCUCAAUAUCAAAAUAACACCCAAUUAAUAAUUGGGUUCCACUACAUAACUAUAAAUAUAUACUUUGGAUAAUUACAAUAUUACCCCAAACUUAGCUUACCAAAGCCCAAGGCCUAAUCCAUAGGCCCAAGGUCAACUAGGGAUCAAAGCCCAACAUAUGGCCCAAUUUUCCAAAUUGGGCCUAAACCUCUACAUGGACUUCCCUUAAGGACCAAUUGUUCAGUCCAGUUCAACAUGUCUCAUUUUAAGGGCUUAAUAUCAUACAACCAUCUAGGCCCAAACUAUGGCCCAUCUAUGGCCUAAUUUUCCAAAUUGGGCCCAAUCCUUCAUAUGGGCCUUACCCUAAAGCCCAACUAAAUAUUCUAGUCCAUAAUCAUUCUUGGAUGGCCCAUUAUUGGCCCAAUUACCAAUACCCAAUUGAAGAGCCCAACUCAAGGCCCAUAUGACAUUAGGGUUUCACAUAAAAUGACAAUUAGGGCUAAGUGUUUCUUACUUAACCCAUUAAGAACUUAAUCCAUUAAGGACUUAAUCCACUAAGGACUUAAUCCGUUAAGUCCAGUAUUGCUUAGAUUAAUUUUUGCCAAUGAUUAUUAUUUAAUAUUUCGAGUUAUUAAAUAAUUCUCGUGUGUGUGUCCUGAUAAAUUCUCAAAGAUUAGGGUAUUCUCACUUAGCCCCUUAAGGACUUAGUCCAUUAAGUCCUUUACUCUACUAGAUAAGUUAUGUGGAAUAAUUGGGCUUAGUACACAAUCUAAUCCCAAUGGCCCAAAAGUGGGUCCAAAUAAGUCCAAGGCCCAAAUACUCAUAAUUAGGGUUUUCCACCCAAACAUGGCCCAAUAGGCCAAAAACCAAUCUCUAAUCCCAUUAGGGUUUGCUAGUGGGGCACCACCUACUACCACCUCGGGUAAUGGUGGUCAAUGGUGGCUUGCGGCGGCGGCCACCACAUCACGGUGGUGGUUUGGUUCUUUUUUUUCAUUAUUCUUGUUGAUUACAGUUACAAUGCUUUGAACCAAAAUGAACACACACACACACACACACACACACACAUAUAUAUAUAUANNNNCAGGAGGCGGCAGCCACCACCCUAAGGUGGUGGUUUUCAAUUUCUUUCAUUAUUCCAAUUGCUUUACAGUUUACAAUGAACUCACAAAUAAACACACACACUACACUAAUUAAACAUGCACAACCACCCUAUGGUGGUCGGCGGUGGCGAAUGGUGGCGGUGGCCUUGACUUUUUCCGGCCAAAUAAACUACCCACACAACACACCCUAAAAUAGAAACAAACAUCCAUACACUUUCUUGCUUGCCAACGGAUUCAACCACCCUCCUGGUGGCGGUUGGUGACGACGGAACCUCCGUGGAGGCGGCAACGAAGUUGCAACACGGCUUCCCGAUUCACACCCAACAUACUCUAAAGUUACACCGAGCAUAACUCUUGGGACCAGCCACUAUAAAUAGUGAAAGAUGCCUUCCGAAUUUUGUUUACAACUUUCAUUCUAUACUUUCUUCUAUAUUGCUAAAAUUACCCCCAAGCCUAUUAUAUGAUACCAAAUACCCGAAGCAAGUCCUAAAGCCCCGGAGAUCCCAAGAAAAAGAGUUUUCGAGCUGAAACUCUACCUACGUGAAGCCCGGUUUUUUGGAAAACAUCCCGGUUUUAUCAGAAACGAUCGUUUAAAUAAAUGAAGUGCUGCCCGAUUAUCGUUAAAUCAAGUGAGUGUAUAGUCACUUUCAUCUUACACAUAGAUAUGAAGUAUUUUAUAUAAAAUAUGUGUUAUGUGUAUAUAUAUGUUGUUUGUUUAUUUGAGAUGGAUGUUGAAAGAAUGUUUUAUACAGGUUUUAAAAUGUAUAUGUAUUUUAUAUCUACAAAUAUGUUGGGUAAAACAUGGCUAGAUAAAGAAUGAGGGAUGAAAGAUGAUAUAGAUGAAUAUUGGCAGUUGCGCCAAAACGCUUAGGUGUUUUUGAUUUAAGUGUUCACUACUUGUAAUCUAAAUAUCUUGGUAGCUGCGCCUAAUGGAUAAUUUUUGAAGCUUUUCCUAAUAGAUACAACAUAAUCCUGGCAGCUACGCCUAAAGGAUAAAAUCGGCAGUUGCACCUAAUAGACGAUAUUGACAACUAUGCCUAAUGAAGAAUAAAUGAUGUUGUUGGCAGCUACGCCUAAUAAACAAUAUUGGUAGUUGUGUCAACUAGAGAAUAAAUGAUGUCGUUGGCAGUUGCGCCUAAUAAAUAACAUUGGCAGUUGCGUUAUAGGCAAAGAUGGACUUCGUGCUUAUUUCUUAGGUUAAUCCUUAGAAAAUGAAUGAAUGAGGAAUAGUUGAUUUCUUAGGGUGGAUCCUUAAGAGUAAAAGACGAUUAUAAUAUAAUCUUUAUUUGGAUUUUAGAUUGAAAGAUUUCCAAUCUUUUACAAAAUCCCCAGAACAGAUGUUUAGAAUCAACCAAGUAUCAACAAUCGCCUUAUCUGUUGGGUAAACUUUGGGUGAUUUAUAUCAGCAAAUAAUAAUUUUUGAUUCGUUUGUUGAUGAGGCGGGACCCGGAUUUGAACUGGGGAAAAAAGGAUUUGUAGUCCCCCGCCUUACCACUUGGCCAUGCCGCCAAAACGAUACACAAUAAGAUAAAAUUUUAUGGCUUGGAUUACUAAACUUUAGUUUAUUGUGCUUGCAUCCCUUUUUUAAUUUCAUCUUUUUUUCUAAAUUUAUAAAAAUUCUAAAAGAAACCCUUUUCACCUUUUGUUUGACCACCCCUUCGAUUGAUUGUAUAAUAUCUCAAAACAUAAAAUGUCGAAAAACCUCCCCUCACUUUUCUAUUGAAAAAUCAAAUGUAUGUUUUCAAUCAAAAAAGCCAAAAUUUAUGACACAAAAUUUAUGAAAAAUGAGAACCAUUAACUAUUCGUUAACUGAGAAUUCCUAAAUGAUUUUUGGAUUUGAAUCUAAAAUUGGGGUUGCCUAAUGAUAUAAGAAACUACAAAACAUACUUAAUUGAUUCUUAAUCCUUUCAAUUUCCAUUAUAACAAAAACGAUAAGUAUAUGUAAACCCCACAAUGGAAAAUCUUACACAUAUACCAAAUUGGGUAUCUUUUUUAGAGUAUGUUUCCUAUACCUAUAAAUAUAUGGAAUUCGUUGGAACAAAAAAAGGCUCGUCUGGGUAUUGACCGGGCCAGGCCCAAAAGGCACUUCGAACAAACUAAAAGCAAGAAGGUCUUCUUCAUUUAUCUUUCUAUUUGGAUCUUUCGAGCAUCUAAAUUGAAUUGCUAAUUAUAUAAUAACGAUAAAGAAUGUGAAAGAAAUAAUUUCUAUAAUGGGGGUUGGAAAUUGGGUUGAUUGUUUGAUGUUCAACCAUAACAAAUAAAUUUAUUGUGGUUGAUGAAAUUAAUAAAUUUAUUAUUUGUGGGUUGAAAACCCUAUAUGCUCACUAGGCUCCCAAGCCUGACCCAUUCAGCUUUUUAUAUUACAGGUAGUGGACUCAGAGCAUAGUUGGACGAUGACGAGAGAUUUUUGGAUUAUAGGCCAGUAGUUGUAAAUAACUGUUAUAAGGCUUAAAAUAUACUAUUUAUGCUUUUGCUCUGUAUCGGAACAUGACAUCCCGAGGUUUUGAUAUAUAAUGAAAAAAUAUAUAUUUCUUUAAGAAAUGUUUUGAUAAAUUUUUAUCAUGUUUUGUUUUGGGGACAAAUUCUACAACAUCUUUUAAAAGAUUACUUUUAUUUUAUUUUAAAAGCAUAAACUAAAUCGGUCUUUUCUGGACGAGAAAUUCGGGGAUGUCACAUAUAUGUCACGCAAUGACUUGUUGUCGGAUUAUACCGGUAUCAUUUGACAUGCUCUGAGCAUACGACUUAUUUGGCCUUUAUGCAUAAUCAUGACAUAUAUAAUUUCUCCAAUUGCAGCAACGUAUGGAAUACAAUCAUGUUAUCUAGUUCAAAAACAUUUGCACUAGGAUUUUGCUCAAAAUUAUGUCAUGUGGUUUUUGACAAGAUGACUCUCUCAGAUUCCUUUAUCUUAAGCUCCUUUAAGAUCAUUGACAAUUAAUGCAAUUUUACUUAAUCCUUUAAGUUGUCAUGAUCUAUAUAUAUAUAUAUAUAUAUANGUGCUCCCACUAGCUUUGUAGAAAACACAAGAAUCAUCUAGAUUCAUAAUUAAAUCACACUAUGUAAUUAACUUAUAAGAAAGAAGAUUCUUACUUUGAGAUGUUAGCUUAAAUCUUGGAAGAUUUUCAAUCAUGUAUGUUUUCUCCCUUGAAAACUCACUCUUUAUAGUCAAACUAUAUCAAGGAAGAUUAAUCAAGCCCAUACUUGAUGAUCAUACAUGAAUGCCUCUCUAUGUGUUUAAUUAGUUUCUGGUCAACCAUUGAGCAGAUUCAACAACAAUUGAAAUUUGCUAGUUCAAAACUAUGAUGCAUUUAGUUUAUGGUUCUUAAGCUCUUAAAGUUCUAUAUAGCUCCCACUUACAAAAAAAAACUUUCUAAUCACUUGUCUUAUGGAAUGACAAUUAGUGGGAUUAGUAGAAACUUCAUCCUAAACAAUCAUUUAGGAUAUUCUACAUAAAUGCAAUUAGCAUAUACCAGAGUGGUUAAGCUUAUUGUUUAACAUUAACUCUAUAACUCUAUUCCUUUUAGAUAAGGAUAAACCAUUUCAUCCUUAGCCUAAUAUGAGCAUCUAAUCCACUUGUUUGGUUGGAAAAUAUAUAUAGUCAAUAUAUUUUUGUUGUAGUGAGCAUAAUUCCAAAUAUUUAUAAAGUAAAUAGUUCUUUUAAAACAUCAUACAAUAGACUGCAAGGUCUAUGUUUUAUCCUCUUUAAAAACAUGUAGAGUAAAUUACACGAAUGGUCCCUAUGGUUUGGGGUAAUUUGCGCGCUUGGUCCCUAACUUAUUUUUUUAACUCGGAAAGUCCCUAACGUUUGUUUUUUUACGUGUUUGGUCCCUAAUGUUUGUUUUGGUUACGCGAUUGGUCUCUGUCUUAUCUAAAAAAAAACUAUUAUUUAAAUAGGAAAAAAUUGUAGGAUGGGUAAGGUAAAGUGAGGGGGGUUGGGGUUGGGGUGUGUUUAUUUAAAUAUUUUAAAAAAUCAAGGGCAAAAUAGUUUUUUUAUGUACGACAGGGACCAAGCGUGUAACAAAAACAAACAAUAGGGACCUUCCGAGUUAAAAAAAUAAGUUAGGGACCAAACGCAAAAAUUACCCUAAACCAUAGGGACCAUUCGUGUAAUUUACUCAAACAUGUAUUAUCGACAUUCAGCUAGUAGCCAGGUGGCCCUAUCCCACUAGAGAAUACGAAAGCUACCUCAAAUAUCAAAAGACAGAUUCAAGUGACCAGGUGAUCCUAUGCAACAAGAAACAUACUAAUGACAAGUGAGUGUUUUUGUCGGAAUGAGUUGUGAAUCAAUUCCACAACUCCUAAGAUGUUCCAGGAAAAUUUGGUCUACAAUAACUCAUUUUCUUUAUCACAACGAAAGGUUAAUGAUGAUUUCAUUAAGUUGUAUUUCAAUCUUCAUUAUGAAACCGUUUGAUCAAAUCAAAAGGUUUAAUCAACAAUGAAUAAAAAUCGUCAGUGAAAUUGAUUAAAUAUCUAUCACCAAAUAUAUUCAUGGAUUGAAAAAGAUUAUAUACAUCACUUAUGUAUAACUCUUUGUCAAGCCUUUUUUUCUUUAACUACUAAUAGAUAAAGACACUAGUGAAUCAUUUUCCCAUAUAAAUAGGAUUCACAUAUAUCAAAUGAAUCAAGCUCAUUUGCCUUCAAAAAUUCCAUCCUUUUGAAGUUGGUAUAUGUAACGCCCGUGUUUUCAAGCUUGACAUUUUCGUUGAUGUAAUAGUCUAGGUUAACCUUUGUAACCCGUUUUGAAAUAAUAAGAGCGUAUUAUUUGUGUAUUAUGUGUUUCGUGCUUAAUUGCUUAAUUAUGUGAUUUGAUUAAUUAAGAAUAAAAUAAGUGUCAAAAUUUAAGUGUAAAAUAAACUCAAUAUCUUUGCAUAAAGUUGUAGUGGCCGAAACGAGGUUUCCGAAUAUAUAUAGAACGCCCAAAUCUGACUUCGUAUGAGGAAGUUAUAAUUUUCUGAAGUUUCGACUUAGCGGUAUGCAGCCCAAAUACUCGAUUUGAGAUCGAGCGGUUUUUAGCCAAAACAAUCUAAAUGAGAAUCGAAGAUCUCGUUGUUAGUAGCGAAACGAUGAAGAGUUAGGCGAGAACGGACAUCGGACGAAGAAGUUAUGGAUUUAUAACGAAGUUUUCCUGUCCGGGCCUACUAAAAAUAGAUAAUAAAAAUAAAGUCAAAAUUAGCCGACGGAGUCUAAACGAAAGUUGUAGAGCGUAGUCUCACCUACGCGUGGAUAUAAAGAACGUUGAAAACGAAGUUCGUAUGAUGAAGAUAUAAAUUUUCAAAGUUUAUUAAAUAAUUAAUAUUUAAAUUUAAUUAUUAUGCCCGAUAUUAUCCGAAGAGGAGUCACUGGACUUAUCCGGGUUACGCCCAGCGUACAGCGAAGCAUGACGAAGCCUCGCACUCGAGUACUCCGAUGACGCAUGCAGUGACGUUUUGGCAUUAUGCCCAGCAUACCGAAGCAGUACGCCCAACGUAAUGCGAGGGUUCAGCCCUAUAAAAGGGGCAAUUGAGGGCAGCUUCUUUCUUUUACAAACUUCUUUCUUUUACAAACUUCUUUCUUCCUCUCUAGUUUUUGCCUCGAUUUGCGUGCCAUUUAUACCCCGAAGCCCCGGUAUCAUUCCCGAGCCCCGAAGCAAGAUCCGAAGCCCCGAAGCAAGAUCCGAAGCCCCGAAGAUCCCGAAGAGUGUUCUUCCCGAGCCGAAGCUCUGCCCGCGAGGAGUCCGAUUUUUUGUGAAGAACUUCCAGAUCUGCCGAAGAAUACUACUUCUAUAAGCCAUAGUGCUGUCUGAUCUGCCGAAGAACACAUUAUUAUGAAGUAUUUUAUAUAAAAUACGUGCUAUGUGUAUAUAUUUUGUUGUUAUAUGUGUGAAUGUAUAUUCACUUUCUUCUAUCUCAUAGAUAUGAUUUAUUCUCUAUGAAAUACGUGUUAUGUGUAUGUGUCUCAUCUGUUGUUUGGAAUAUGUAUUGAAUGAUAAUGUUAUACAGGUUUUAAACUAUGUAUAAAAAUAUAUAUUUUUAUCUACUAAUAUGUCGGGUAGAACAUGGGUAGAUAGUUGUGUGAUAAACAGAUGAGAGGCCUCGAUGUUGUUUUUGAUUUAGUCAUCUAGCGGAGUUUAGAUGAUGACCAUAGACUUUUCUAGACAGUCUUGUGGAACGCUAGCAGGUUCGCCACCUGUAGGUGUUAAUGAACGCGGGUGUUCAUUCGCUGUACUCCAUCCCCCUCAUGGUUGCCUUAUUUGACAUAUAUUGCCGGGAAACCCCUGAAUGCAUGUGUUGUCUCCCCGACGAAAUAUUCUAAGACUAGGUCCCUUGUGUUAGUUGUUUUAGGGAUGUAAAGUGAGAAUAACGGGAAUGGGUAAUUGGAUUAUUGUUGGUUGGUGGAAUUAAAUAUAAUUAUUUAUUGUGGGUUGAAAACCCUAUACGCUCACCUGGCUCCCAAGCCUGACCCACUCAGUUUAUUUGUAUUACAGGAAGUGGCGCAAGGGCAUAAGAUGGAUGAAUCAUCAAGUUGUUUUGUUUACAAGUCUGUAUAUGUAUAUAUUUGUUGAACGACUUGUAAUGUUAUCGUUUAUGCUUUAUGGUCUAUAUCGGAACAUGACAUCCCGAGUUUUGAUUAUAUAAUGAAAAUACAUUUCUUUAUGAAAUGCUUUGGUAAAUAUUAUUUUAUCACGUUUUGUUUUUGGGAACAAAUUCCGCAACUCUUUCAAAUCAAAAGGAUUUACUCUGAAAUUAUUUUAAAAGCAUAAAUGAAAAUCGGUCUUUUCUGGCCGAGAUUUUGGGGAUGUCACANNNNNNNNNNNNNNNNNNNNNNNNNNNNNNNNNNNNNNNNNNNNNNNNNNNNNNNNNNNNNNNNNNNNNNNNNNNNNNNNNNNNNNNNNNNNNNNNNNNNNNNNNNNNNNNNNNNNNNNNNNNNNNNNNNNNNNNNNNNNNNNNNNNNNNNNNNNNNNNNNNNNNNNNNNNNNNNNNNNNNNNNNNNNNNNNNNNNNNNNNNNNNNNNNNNNNNNNNNNNNNNNNNNNNNNNNNNNNNNNNNNNNNNNNNNNNNNNNNNNNNNNNNNNNNNNNNNNNNNNNNNNNNNNNNNNNNNNNNNNNNNNNNNNNNNNNNNNNNNNNNNNNNNNNNNNNNNNNNNNNNNNNNNNNNNNNNNNNNNNNNNNNNNNNNNNNNNNNNNNNNNNNNNNNNNNNNNNNNNNNNNNNNNNNNNNNNNNNNNNNNNNNNNNNNNNNNNNNNNNNNNNNNNNNNNNNNNNNNNNNNNNNNNNNNNNNNNNNNNNNNNNNNNNNNNNNNNNNNNNNNNNNNNNNNNNNNNNNNNNNNNNNNNNNNNNNNNNNNNNNNNNNNNNNNNNNNNNNNNNNNNNNNNNNNNNNNNNNNNNNNNNNNNNNNNNNNNNNNNNNNNNNNNNNNNNNNNNNNNNNNNNNNNNNNNNNNNNNNNNNNNNNNNNNNNNUAUAUAUAUAUAUAUAUCUGAAGUCUUGUCCAAGUCAGACUUGUUCAGCUCAAUGAGAUAAGAGGAGCAAUUCCUCCUUUAGUGCUUAGUUUCUUCCAUAAUAGAAACAACACUAAUCAUUUGGUCCUUUCUUCGUUUCAUGGUUUAUGUUAUAUUUCCCUUAACUAAACUAUAAGUCUAUAUGAGUGCACAAUCUCUUAGACUUCGUUUUAUUCAAUGCUUGAACAGACUUGAAGUUAUUUCUAGUGUUCUGAUUGAAUAUUUGCUUUAUUUGAUGAGACAUCUGAUAUGUUUCAUAAUUAUCCAAGACUUUCUGCAAGUCAUGGUUAGUUUUUUUAGUAUGAUGUGAGAUACAUCAUCAUCAUCACAAUAAUACUUCCAUCAAAGUAUCAUGAUCAGACUAACUGGUUGUAGAUGUUAUUCAGAUGAUAUCUUUCAGUAUAUAUAAUCUCUAUUUAUUUUAAAGCUAGAACCUCAAGAUAUUAUACCAGUUAUAGCAAUUAUAACCAUCAAAUGUUACUGUCUCUUGAAACUCAACAAGAGAGAGGUUUUCCAGGGCAUAAAAUUACUAAUAGUUAUCAACAGAAUUUAAAAAAGUUUCAUUUAGUAUUUUCAAUAUUUAGUCUUUAAAAUUAAUACCUUAUAUUGUUUCUUAAAACAUUAAUUUAUUAAAGUAUAGGAAAUGAAUAAGGUGACCCAAAAAUCCAUAUGAGUUGCACAAAAAUCCCAAGUGAAUUUUAAAUGGAUUACAUAGAUUUGAAGUUUUGUAAAUAAGAGUUUAUAUAUGUUUUACGAUUAUAGUUUUUAAAAACAUGGUCUCAUGAAUAUUGCAUGCAUCCAACAAUUCAUGUACCCUUUUGUAAAAUUCAUAUCACUUGUUAUGAGGUUCUUUAGGCGUCAAAUAAAAUUUCAUUUUAUUUUCCGUUAACUGCGAUCAAUUAUAAACUCAAAUCCAGUAUUUUAAAGUUUAGUCGUAGAUCGGUUUUAAGAACCGGUAACAGUCUUAUUAAAACUUUAUUUUAUGUUUAAGACUUGGAGUUUUGGAUGAGUUAUAAAAUCACUAUUUUAAAUCUCCUUUUUUCAAUCAAACUCUUAUGACUUCAUGAAUUUAUAGAAUAAAAUCAUUUUAUUUUAUAAACUCAAUUUUAUGCAUCUUAUGAUAAAAGUUAUAUUUCGAUAAACCAAAACUUGGGUGAUAAUACUUAAGUUUUAAAUCCUAUUUAGCAUGCAUAAAACUUAAUAUCAACAUGUUGUGUUAUGUUUAAAACACCAAUAUCAUAUAUUAAGUUUCGACGCAAAAAAUAAUCACUAGUAUUAUUAUUUGUCGUUAUAACGGUAUAAACCGAUUUUAGGGUUUUUAGUAAAACUCCUUAUUUAUUAUAAAGACAUUGAGUUUAUAUAAAGUUUAAAUAUCUUUUAAGUCAUUUCAAAUAUUUUAAAGUUGGGUAUUUAUAAGUUUUACAAUAAAACUAUUUUCAACAAAAAAUUGAGUUUUAACCGGUAACCGGUAAAACAUUUUUAUAAAUAUUCGUUUAUAAACAUCUUAUGUUAUAUUUUAAAUAUUUUUUACUCAAACUUCAGGUGAUAUUAUCUUAUGAAAAAAAUUUAUUUGACAUGUAAAAACAAUUUUCAUACAUAAAACAUAAUAUGCAUUUAACAUAAAAUAAACAUCACAAACAUUCAUUAUAAUGUGUAUAAACCAAACCAUGUCUAGUAAUAAUUUUUGUGAGCCAUCACAAGAAUUAUUAAGUCUUUCUUGAAGGACUUAAGAGACACUUCAAAAUGUCUUCAAGGUGGUAAUUUCUUCAUCUUGUUACAUUUAAAAUAAAUACAACUAGUGUAACGAAUUAUAUCAAAUCAACAAAUGAAAAAUACCUAUUUAUCUAUUACAUCUUAUGAAUAAAUAAAUAUCAACCAAACAUAAAUGUCCAAAUGGCUUGUUUAUACACAACAACAUAUCAAAUAUUAUAACCAAAAACUCUUUGUUUUUUCUAAAGCAACUUUUAUAUAACUAAAAUGCAUGAAAAAUGGUUAUAUAUAAAAAAUAAACAGUUUUAACCAAGAAGUUGUCAAAGAAGACAAAUAUGGAUUUUUCUUAACAAAAAGAAAUUCACACUUGUUUUCCAAAAACCCAAGAUUAUCAAACAUACAAAAAUCAUUCUAAAAUAUAAAAGAUGGCUCUGAUACCACUGUUAGGUUGUGAUACGAUAUAAAAGUUUGUUUUUCAUAAAAAACCGGCAACGGAAGACUUUAAAAAUAACAAGUUUAUUUUAGUUCAUAACAAAACCGAACCGUCAUGGAUCCAUUUAAAUAGGUUAGAAUGAAAUGAAAACAACCAUACGAUAUUUUAGAGACAAUCUGUGAAGCCUUUGAACCCACUUGGUUUUGGGGUGUUAAUGAAGAUAACAAAAGUUCAAAGUGUAUGAUCUUCUCUACAAGUAUACACCAUCAAGAGUAAGGCACUUGGAAUGCUAGUUCCUUCUUGUAUUCUUGAGUGUCUAAUGCCUUUAGGUGCUUAACUCAAUUAAGCACUAAAGGGAACAAAUCAAGAGGUCUUCAAAACACUAAACUAACUUCAAAAGAGAGAGAGAGGAUGAAGAGAAGAAGAACCCUAGGUUCUAGAGAGAAAAAAGAGGAAGAAGAAGAGCUUCACUCUUACAAAACUGCAAGCCUCAUGCAUCUCUUAUAUAGCCCAUGAAAAAUAAGGCAUAACCAUUAAAAUAAUCUAAAGUAAUGGCAACUUUAGAAACAUGGGAGACAAAAGGUGGAAGGUUGAAAAAGCAACCUCCCACGCCAUCAUUAUGCCUUUUAAAAAGUAAGAUUCUUUAUUUUUUUUUAUAGACAAAACUGCACAAAUGGUCCCCUGUGGUUCGCUCAAAAUUGUCACUUUGGUCCAAAAAAGUUUGGACUAGCACCAGAGGUCCAAAGUUUUUAUUUUGUUGCUUGUUUGGUCCAAUUAAUUCUGAUUUUUUUCAAAAUGACGGAUUUGCUCCUGUUAAUAUGAUUUUCGCUUUAAUCUUAAUUGUUUUUCUGAUUUUCAGAUUUAAAAAAAUAAAAAAAUAAAAAAUAAAAUUAAAUCUCUUCUCUCUCUCUCUCUCUCUCUCUCUUCUCUCUCUCUCACACACACACUCUCUCUCUUCAUUACUAACUACCACCGGAAAAGAUGGCAUCGCCGUCACCACCACAUCUCCCACUCAUUAUUCGUCUUCAUCUUCCUCGCCUCCGUCGAAGUUGGUUGAGCUUGAUAUCUCACAAAACCUGUUCGUCGGAAGGCAGCAUCGGAGACAUUGAUUUAUAAAAGGGAAAUAAAGGGAUUUUGGUUUACCUAUGGAAAAUUGAUUCCAUAACUAAUACUAAUUUUCUUAGAAGCGAAUACUGAUAUUACAAAAUCUCCUUUUGACUCAUGAACAGGUUGAGUAAGAUAUGGUGUUAGUUUCUCACAAUUUUUGCCAUUGGAACCCAUAGCAACUGCAAUCCCAACUUGCUCGAUAGCUUCCACCCAUUCCCUCGCUGAUCCAUUGAGAAUGGGAACCUGUAAUUGCAUAUGAAACCUAUCAAUCUGACUGAAGAUUUUUAUAACGUCAAGAUAAACACACACACACACACACAAAUACCACACAAUCGAAGAUUUGGUUAUGAGUUUACAAACCCAAAAAUUUGCAGAAAAUCAAAGAGAAUGAAAUAUGUAAAAAAUCUAACCUAAACGUAUCCAUAAUGUACAUCCUUUCAAGAUCUAGUUUUAUAUUCAUGAGAUUUUCAAGAAAACUCCCAUGUUUACAGCAAAUGCACAAUCUUACUGAUACUGUCUCCUCCGAUUAGGGCUUGAAACGAUUUUGACUUCCUAACUUGGGGUUGUGUUAUAUUUGUUGGAUUAGUGUCUAAGUCCAUAACUAUUUUGGUAUGUACUUGACCCGAUUAUGAGCAUGGUCCUUUUGGGUUGCCUUCACCAUAGCAAUAUGUAGGAUGAAUUAAGGAGAGAAAGGUUUAAAUAUGAUUUAUUAAUAUAUUAUGAGAAUAAUAUAUUAAAGGAGAAAUCAUAUUGUUUAAUUAAUAUUAGUCAAGAAUUAAUUUUUGUGGCUAACAAAGAUUAAUUAAAUUUAGGGGACUGGACUGUAAUUAUUGGAUAAUUGAGUUGUUGGGCUAUGGAAUGCUAAAGGAACAAGGGGUGAACGAAAUUAUGAUGGGAGCCCAUCAUAUUUUCGUCCAUGGUCUUAUCCAGAAGGUUCCAUGGGCUGCUUAGAGUUUAAGCUGUCCAUUUGGGUUUUGAAUGAAACCCUAGCAGCCCACACAAGUAUAUAAAGGACCCCUUAGGCCCCCAAAACGUGGACAACUGAUUCUCUAGGGUUUCUAGUCGUUUUGGGCAGCCUCCUUUCUUCUCCUCUUCAUCCAAGUUGCAUAUGGUGUUUGUGACUCCAUUAGAGGUGCAGCACUUGAGGCACUAAGCUUUCUAAAGCCAAUCAAAGCAAGGAAUUGAUUGUUAUUACAAUAUAACAAUCAAAGGUAACUCUCUAAACCCUAAUUCAGUUUAUUAAAUGUUAGAUCUAGGGUUUAUAGCCUUGGAUUCAAAGCAUGUACAAUAGAGAAACCUAGAUCCAAAUAUUAGGGUUUGUAUGAGCACAUAAGAUUGUUUCUUAUGCAUAAAACCCAUCAGUGAUAUCAGAGCCUUGAUUGGUUUUAGUUGUAUGUGAUGCUUAGCUGUUUUGUUUGCUAAAAACCGAGUUUUUGGCCUUUGACCGACUCAACUCGGCAAGUCAGUAUCUGGACUCGGCGAGUUGGCCCCUACUCGGCGAGUUCAGAGCUGACUCGGCGAGUUCGGGCGUCAGACAGAGGGUAUUUUGGGAUUUAGCUGAUGUUUUGACUUGGAUUUAAUUCCUUAUUUGUUUUUUGAAGUUAAAAUCCGAUUUCUAUCUUAAAUUAGUGAUUAUCCUAGCCAAAACAAUAGAUAAUUUCAAACCUUUUGAAUAUUGGUUGUUUAUAUGAUAAAUAUGGAUUAUUUUAAAUUAUUUGGUAAUUAUCUAGUGAUUAUCCUUGCACCAUUUAGGUUUUAUAGUUUAAAUUUGAACUUAAAAGUUUUGUUUAUGAAAUUUAAAUAAGUUAAACCCUAAUGUUUUGAAAUGUUUCAAAACUUGCCCUCAAGUUUUGGAAUUUAAAAGUUGAUUAAAUGUUAAAUUCUAAAACCCUAAUAAUUUGAAAACUUCAAAUAUCACACUUAUGGUUUUAUUAAUUAAUUAAAGUGUAUAAUUAAAAGUGAUUUAAUAAAUCCAUAAAGUUUUGGUUUACAUUUAAUGAAAUUAAAAGUUUAAUUUACUAAGUUAAACCACCAAGUAUUUUAAAAGUGUAAAAUACACCCUAUACUACAUAUAACAUUAAAAGUCUAAUAUUAUAUAUGUAUGAGUAAACAGUCAGUCUUACCAUUAGUAGGCCUCAUUCACGAAGCUGUUCUAUAAGGGGUGUUUAAGGAAAUUGCCUAUAAAAUGGCGAUUGAAUGGGUAUCCACUCUUACCCACCGCACUCUUGACUAGUGGAGGGUCGUUAGCCGAACGGGUAGGAUAGGACGAAACCUUCCAUUAUAAGUAUA
rnacentral:lncRNA from 1 species